AGAUGAUUUCGCAGGAAUGAAAUUAAUGUUGAGUUAAACGUUCUACAGUUCUGUGUUAUUUAAAAAUUUUAAAAACGACUCAUAUGUAUUUCUUUUAUAAUCAGAGAAAAAAAGGUAAACACAUUCAAAUUGGAAAGUAAAGGAUAAUGUUAAUAAUGAAGUGGCCAGAUGUUUUUCCCUUUCCAUACUCCAGCCGUCAUGAACUUUGUAAUGAGCAUGAAUUAUUUUUUCAAUAUAAAAACAUAAAGAAACCCAUCCAAACUCAAUUUCACCUCUUCAAACAAAAAUAAAUGCACAGAUGCUUCCACGCUGCGUGGGGCAAGUAGUUUAUUUCUAAAUUAAAACUAUACACGGUUGAGGCGAUUUAUUCAUGAAGCAAAUUCUUUGGUAAGAAUAUACUGAGGGCCUACUGUCUAUAGACACAGUUCUCGCGGCUUUCGCGCUUAUUACCUCACUGAAUUAAAAAUGAAAAGAAAAACUUUUUUUUUUAAACCAAAGACGGUUUCAAGAAACCCGUAAGUUCCCGAAACGCGUUCCUCGCCGGGGAAGUUACCCCGCGUCCUAGCGCCUCCCCUCUCACGUGACCCUGCGACUCAGGGAAGCCAUCUUAAGCCUCGCCUCACAGAGGAAACUACAUCUCCCAGAAUGCUUUCUCUUUGCGUCGUGCUGGCACUUUUACUGGCCGGGUCCUAGAGCUGAGCCUGUAGCCAGGCGCCAUCUUUGACGCUGGCAGUCUUGGAUUUCUGCUGGUGUUGCUGCUGUGAGGACGGCGGGCGGUAGCGGCUAAGAAAGAAGAAAGACGUGGCAGCAAGCGGGAGUCGGGGACAGUGUCGGCGGUUCGGUAAAGUUUCUGUUCUCUGGGUCCCACUACUUGGGAGACACUCUCAAACUCCACAUACAGAAAGCCACCGACCUUAAUCCGGUAUCCUACACCCCUUCCUUACCUUAAUUAACUCCCACCCCAGCCCUCCGCAUCGGAGUCAAGAACAACAGGGACACUUCCGUUCUCCUUGUAGGAUUGAUGAAACCGUAAUGAAGAACACCCCCUAAGCUCCCAUAAUCGGUGCGGAUUCCUAUGGGGAAGGCCCAUGUUGUUGACAUCUUGCAGGCCUUGGUUCUGGACCUUGAGAAGGAGGCUGUGGAACUAGUGAUAGCGAUGCUUUUUAGGGUAAAUGUAUGUAGGUAUUGGGGGAAGGGGAGGGAUCAACCGAAAAGCAAUGAAAGUGGUUUGCAGCUCAGAUUUCAGUUCUUGCUGCUCCCGUAGAGUUCAACUCGAGAGUUACUCCUUUACAGGCAGUAAAGCUUCCCCAGUCUAAAAAUGUGGCAGAACGAAAUGUGGAUUAACUCUUGAUACAAACAGUAAAUUGAAAAUGCAGCUUGUGAACCCUACAAAUUUUUACUCCCAAAUCCCUUUUUUUUAGCCACCCGCAUUUUUAAAAAUUGAAUUAUUGUUAUUUAGAGCUGAAAGGGCUCAAUUAGCGUAUGCUGUUAAUGACCAGUAUGUGGAGUUUGCUUUAUAUUUCCCGGAUUUGACUUUUUGGGUUGUAUUGUCAAAUCACAGUCCUAAAUGAUGAAUGUUGAAUGAUGCACUAUGUUUUUGUUUAAGUGAGGUUUCCUGAAAUUAAAUAAUUUCAGAACUAAGGGAAAUUGAUGUUGCUACCAUGACGCAUCCUAAAAAUACACAUUUUAAAAGCUGAAGGCAUUUCAAGCAGAGAUAGUUCUUGAUGAACCAGAGAGAACAUGGACCUGGGAUUUGGAAGACCUGGCUUCUAGCUGCUGCUAACUCUAUGACUCUGGGAAGGUGGCCCUCAGUUCCUUUUUUCUAUAACACGAAGAGAUUGGACUGUUUGAAUUCAGAUUCAGAACUCAGAAGCUGGAAGGGAUCAUAAAGCCCUAUAAGAAAGAGUUUGGGAAUGUUCUCCAUUGCUGUCACUUUUCUUCCAAAAAUAACCUGGCUUGGAAGUCAUUGUUCCAAAGAGAAUUUGAUUCCCCAUAGAAAUUGGAGACAAGGUAAUGCGAUUAGAGAGGAACAGCUGUAUUUCUGCUUGAGUGAUAAACCCACUAAGAGAUUCUGGUACGAAUUUUGGAGACAUAAAGAGAAUGAGUGUAUGUACCUUAAGCGCACCAGUUUCCUCGCUCUCUCCUGGCCGAAGAUGCAGCACUUUUAGCGGUGCUGGGAUUCUGGGAUGUGUUCCUAUUAAUUCUAACACAGAUGAAGAUGAUGUAGUAGAGGGGAAGAUGGUGGCCGAAGGAAUGGAUAAGGAGGCAAAAUUGCCUGCUAAAAAGAAAAGGAAGAAGGGUUUACGGAUCAAGGGGAAAAGGCGAAGAAAAAAACUGCUCCUUGCAAAAAAGUUUAGUAAGGAUUUGGCAUCUGGGAGGCCUGUUGCAGAUGCGCCUGCUUUAUUAGCUUCCAGUGCCCAUGAGCAGGAUGAAGAAAGUCUUUUCGAGAGCAAUAUAGAGAAACAGAUCUACCUACCCAGCACCAGAGCCAAGACCUCCAUCGUGUGGCACUUCUUUCACGUUGACCCCCAGUAUACCUGGCGAGCUAUUUGUAACCUUUGUGAAAAAAGCGUCAGCAGGGGUAAACCAGGCAGCCAUCUGGGGACAUCUACUCUACAACGACAUCUGCAGGCAAGGCAUUCACCUCACUGGACCAGGGCCAACAAAUUUGGAGUCACUAGUGGGGAGGAGGAUUUUCCUUUGGAUGUGCCUUUAUCUCCCUCUUCUGCUGGAAGCAGUGGAAGCUUUGAAUAUAUCUCUACUGAUCCAUUAGAUGAAAACAGAAUGGGUAAGAAACGUGAUAAAUCGGUAUCUGAUGCCCUGAGGGCAGAAAGAGGGAGAUUUCUCAUCAAAAGUAACAUUGUCAAGCAUGCCUUAAUUCCCGGGACAAGAGCCAAGACAUCUGCGGUUUGGAAUUUUUUUUAUACUGAUCCUCAGCACAUCUCAAGAGCUGUGUGUAAUAUAUGUAAACGGAGCGUGAGCCGGGGUAGGCCAGGUUCUCACUUGGGAACGUCAACGCUUCAACGACACUUGCAGGCCACACAUCCCAUCCAUUGGGCCGUUGCCAACAAAGACAGCGGUGCGGUUGGGAAUGGAUUAGAUGAGACUGAGACUGAGAGAAAUGAUCUCUUAAGCGAUCCUCUGCAUGGAGAGAAGUCUACAGGCAGCCACAGUUUAACAGCCGAGGACCUUAGUGACUCUGAUUCAGACGAACCUCCUGUAUUAGAGGUGGAAAAUAGUAGAAGAUCUGAGAGUCCUAAUCCUGUUGCAGAGCAAGACACUCUGACCCACGCACAGGAGAGAGAGACAACAUAUUCCGAAAAUUCAGUCUCAAGUCAAAUAAGUCAGGCAAUUAUUCAGAUGAUUGUGGAGGAUAUGCAUCCUUACAACUACUUUUCAACCCCAGCCUUUCAGAGGUUCAUGCAGAUUGUGGCCCCCGACUAUAGAUUACCAUCUGAGACUUACUUUUUCACGAAGGCUGUACCUCAAUUGUAUGAUUGGGUCAGAGAAAAAAUUUUCUUAACUUUGGAGAAUGUUCAAAGCCAAAAGAUCCACUUGACUGUGGACAUCUGGACCCACGACCCAUCCACGGACUAUUUCAUUGUGACUGUACACUGGGUCUCUUUGGAAACUGCACCUUCUAGUAAUGGCAGGACCCCCAAUUUUAGAAAGUGGGCAGUACUUUGUGUGACAGGUUUGGCCAAAGACUGUUUGAUAACCAACAUUUUACAAGAACUAAAUGACCAGAUUGGUCUGUGGCUUUCUCCUAAUUUCCUCAUUCCUAGCUUCAUUGUUUCUGACAAUUCUUCUAAUGUGGUACAUGCAAUCAAAGAUGGUGGUUUUACCCAUGUGCCGUGCUUCCUGCAUUGUUUAAACAUAGUCAUUCAGGACUUCUUCUGUGAGCACAAAAGCAUUGAGAAUAUGUUAGUAGCUGCUAGGAAAACCUGUCAUCAUUUUAGUCAUUCAGUCAAAGCCCGUCAGAUACUGCAAGAGUUCCAAAACGAUCACCAACUCCCGUGGAAGAAUUUGAAGCAGGAUGAAACUGGCCAUUGGAUUUCUACCUUUUAUAUGUUAAAAUGGCUCUUGGAGCAUUGCUAUUCAGUUCACCAUAGCCUUGGCAGAGCCAGUGGAGUUGUGCUCACCUCCCUUCAGUGGACUCUAAUGACUUACGUUUGCGAUAUUCUGAAACCAUUUGAGGAGGCCACCCAGAAAGUGAGUGUCAGGACCACAGGAUUGAAUCAGGUGCUACCCCUAAUCCAUCAUCUACUUCUUUCUCUGCAGAAACUCAGAGAAGAUUUUCAAAUAAGAGGUAUUACUCAGGCGCUCAAUCUGGUGGACAGUUUAUCUCUGAAACUUGAAACUGAUUCCCUCCUGAGCGCCAUGCUCAAAUCCAAGCCUUGUAUCUUGGCUGCUUUGUUAGACCCUUGCUUUAAAAACAGUUUGGAAGACUUUUUCCCUCAAGGUGCUGAUUUAGAAACUUACAAGCAGAUCCUUGCAGAAGAAGUUUGCAACUAUAUGGAAUCUUCAGAGGUCUGCCAUAUUGCGACUUCAGAUGCUUCUGGUCCCUCAGGCAUCGUAGGAGCUGAUUCGUUUACCUCAUCUAUAAGAGAAGGCACCUCCAGUUCAGGGUCUUUUGAUAGCUCAGCUGCAGAUAAUGUUGCCAUUGGAAGCAAAAGCUUCAUGUUUCCUUCUGCCAUAGCAGUAGUGGAUGAAUACUUCAAAGAGAAGUAUUCAGAGAUCUCAGGAGGUGGUGACCCUUUGAUUUACUGGCAGAGGAAGGUGAGCAUAUGGCCAGCUUUGACCCAAGUUGCCAUUCAGUAUCUAAGCUGCCCCAUGUGUAGUUGGCAAUCUGAAUGUAUCUUUACUGCAAAUAGCCAGUUUCAUCCAAAACAGAUCAUGAGCCUGGACUUUGACAAUAUAGAACAGCUGAUGUUUUUGAAAAUGAACUUGAAAAAUGUUAACUAUGAUUAUUCUACAUUGGUUCUGAGCUGGGAUCCUGGGAAUGAAGUUAUUCAAAGCAAUGAAAAAGAAAUAUUACCUUAAUUUCUUUUUCCUUUUUCCAUUUGAAAUGGGCAACUUGUUGCUAUGUUACUGUAUCCGAAUUGCUAUAGUUGUUAAACAUAGUUACACUAAUUAUUCUUAAUACACACAUCUGGGGAAACCUGAAAACACAAAGAGUGCUGAAAAUUCCUCAGAGGUAAUAAUGUUGACAAAGUGAAGAUUAAAAAUUUCACAGUAGUAACUCAAUAUAGCUGUCACUUGAAAUUUUGUUUAUACCAGUUAAGAGAGAAAAGGUAUUUUUUAACUUAAAAAAUAUAGUGCAGCAUUGAAAGGCUUUAGGCUAUUUCUGGCUGGUAGAUUGAAUUGUAAUUGGUUUUAAGUAAAAAAAAUUUCUCCCAUCACGGGAAAUUUGAUUUCUCUGAAACCAGUGAAAUUGAAGGGAAAACAUACUAAGCUGGUAUUCCUCCCCGUCUCUCCCAUUUUUCUGUUCCUUUAAAAACCCUCAUCCAUACUUACAAGUUGGCAAAAACAAAACUCACGAAAUUUGGAAAUUUCUAAUUGCCUCCUCAUACUGGUCAGCUUUACAAUUUCAACUUACUGAGUGUGAUAGAGUUACCCUUUAUAUUUAGGGAUUGGAUCUAAGUAAAAGGGGAACAUUAGAAAACAAUCGGGAAAAAUUACUAAAAUUACUUUUAGUCUUUGAGUUGCCUUUUUUAAGCUUUAUAAAAUAGUGGGAAGACAAUAAAAUAAAGAUUGUAUGGGUACUUUUUACACAUACGGGCAAAUGACAUAAUAGGUUUACAGAAAUUGAGAAAGAUUGAAUGGGAAUUGGAAUAAAAGCCCCAGGAGCAUACUUUUGACAAAUGCAGUGUCCGUGUCCCAAAGAAUGUUUCUCAUUGUAAGUGAUCUUAAGUGUCUUAAAAUAUAUAUGCUGAAUGAUCCAUAAUACUGUAUUCUUAACUGUGAGAUUGGUUUUUGGCUUUUAAUCUUAGCUAAACAUAAGCAUUCAGUAUUUUCAGGUGUUAGGAAUCACUGCCUCACUGGUAAAAUAAGAGAAUUGAUCUCAGUGACCUUUAAAGUCCCUUUCCACUCUCAAAGUAUGUUUCUGUGGUUGAGUGGGAGGCCAGAGAAUGAUGACUUUUAGUGAAAGUCUAUUACAAGUUUCAGACUGAAUAACUAAUGUAAGAUCCCAAUUUUUCCUUUUUUUCAUUUUAGAUUUGGGGAUAUUCCCUGCCCAAAAAUUUCCUGGAAAAUUGACUAGUAUUAAGUGUGAGUAAAAGGUGUCCACUUUUUUUUAAGUUUUGAUUUUAGUUUUGUCUUGGAUAGUAUUUGGCAAGAUUUAGCCUAGAAACUAUGUAGUACUUAUUACAUGAGAAUCAAAAUUGCUUUGUUACGGGGCUGGUUUCAAAAUUUAGAACUCAUUUCUCUGUAUCAAAAUUGUUCUUUUUUUGUUUUUGGGGUUUUUUUGUUUUUGUUUUUGUUUUUGUUUUUUUUUUAAAUUCUUAAAUGGUAAAUGUACCAUUGUGCAAUGAAAUUUCAACUCCCAAAGUUUACCCUUUUACUAACUGGAGUAAAUGAAUAAUUACAAAGUCUUUAGUUGUAGCCAUCAUUUGUAAAAAAAAAAAAAAAAGAAAAAAGAAAAAAAAAAUGAAACCAGGCUGCAUAAGCAAGCCUUUGCAGGGCCAAUAUUGAAUGUCAUGCCAGUGACACUGGUGUUGCUGUAAAAGAAGAAAAAAAAAAUCUUCCCUUGGAUAGAAGCUUUCUGUAUUUUGACACUCCCAGUUCAGGAUGGCUAUAAUGCUGCUCUGCCUUCUACAGCUUGCUGCACCACUCUGUAGUUACUCGAUAACUAUACGUUUCUAUCUUUUUUGGUUAAACACUCCCUGAAGAUGAUAAAGACGAUAAUGAUGUACAUACAUCCGUAUUAGUAUUAUACACAUUGAUACAUGUGUAAGGAUCUCCCUUCAUGUUUACUCUGUGGGCUGGGCGAAAUUUAGUGUAACAUAUUGGUACACAUCAUGAUACUUUGGUAUAAGAGUAAGUUCACUAUUUUUAUAAUGAACCCAAAUCUGAAGGCUUUUAUAGUGUAUUUUAAAAGGGAAAACUUACCCAAAUGUUUUAUUUCUACACAUUUGUGUAUAUGUGUGUGUGUGUGUAUAAGCCAGUUAGUAUGUAUGUAUAUGUAUAUUAUAUACAUAAAACACUAUAUUUUUUCAUACAAGUAUGCUUUUAUUAUACAGAUAAUAAAGAUGGGGGAAGGUUUCUGUUUUUUUCUUAAUAGGUGAAGAAAUCUUGAAGACCAGAAAUUGGAUCUUAUUGAAUUUUGGUGUUCUUUUUCUUUUUUCUUUUUCUUCUUUCUUUUUAAAUUCUAUUGUUCGGCUAUGGAAGAUGGAUUUUUUUUUUCCCAAUAAUCUUUUGAAUCUCAAGUUCAUCUUUAAAUGAACUCUCUUUUUGUUGGUUUUUUGUUUUUGUUUUUGUUUUUGAGGAGAUAACUAACCCUAGCUGUCUCCAGUCUGACAAAGGUUAUUCAAAUGGACUUAAUCUCCCAGUAGUUGGGAGAUGUUUUAAAAACACCUCCUGUGUUUGAAUUGUGGCUGAGAGGUUUCCUUGGCAAUGUGAGGAGGAAAAUUCUUUCUGCCUCAUUAUUAUUAAUUCAUGGAUUGAGUGUUGGUUCGACCUACAGGCGUAAUAGAUUGGAACUCAGUGAAGACACAGAGGUUCCUGUUGAGAGCAAGCAGCUAAUGAUUGCAUUUUAAAGACGAUUUCUGUGAUUGAGUGGUCUUUUGGAAGAUUAAACCCAUUUCAAGAGGACUUGGAGCUGGUCCUCGCCUUGAGGAAGCAGUGGCUUGCUUUCAAGAAGCCACUUCUAAUCUGAGGAUCUACCCAGCAUGCCUAAUCAAGGAGAAGACUGCUAUUUUUUUU